rnacentral:lncRNA from 1 species
GCGCGCCUACCUGCCGCACCUAGUAACCGCAGCGCGCCUACCUGCCGCACCUAGUAACCGCAGCGCGCCUACCUGCCGCACCUAGUAACUGCAGCGCGCCUACCUGCCGCACCUAGUAACUGCAGCGCGCCUACCUCCUGCACCUAGUAACUGCAGAGUACCUACCUGCCGCACCUAGUAACUGCAGAGUACCUACCUGCCGCACCUAGUAACUGUAGCGUACCUACCUGCUGCACCUAGUAACUGCAGAGUACCUACCUGCUGCACCUAGUAACUGCAGUGCACCUACCUUUAAAGGCUUUUCAAGAACAUACAGAGCAUUUUCAAAAACUGACCAUGUGCUGGGAAAUCAAAUAAGUCUCAAUUUAAAAGGAUUGUAAUCAUAAAAAUGUCCUCUGAGUAUAUUUCAAUUAUGUUCAAAAUUAAU